rnacentral:rRNA from 1 species
UACGAAGGGGGCUAGCGUUGUUCGGAAUUACUGGGCGUAAAGCGCACGUAGGCGGCUCGAUCAGUCAGGUGUGAAAUCCCGCAGCUCAACUGCGGAACUGCCUUUGAUACUGUCGAUCUAGAGUAUGGAAGAGGUGAGUGGAAUUCCGAGUGUAGAGGUGAAAUUCGUAGAUAUUCGGAGGAACACCAGUGGCGAAGGCGGGUCACUGGUCCAUUACUGACGCUGAGGUGCGAAAGCGUGGGGAGCAAACAGG